rnacentral:rRNA from 1 species
UACGUAGGUGGCAAGCGUUGUCCGGAUUUACUGGGCGUAAAGAGCGCGCAGGCGGUCGUGCAAGUCGUGUGUGAAAGCCCCCGGCUCAACUGGGGAGGGUCACGCGAUACUGCUCGACUCGAAGGCAGGAGAGGGAAGUGGAAUUCCCGGUGUAGUGGUGAAAUGCGUAGAUAUCGGGAGGAACACCAGUGGCGAAGGCGACUUCCUGGCCUGUUCUUGACGCUGAGGCGCGAAAGCUAGGGGAGCAAACGGG